UACGAAGGGGGCUAGCGUUGCUCGGAUUGACUGGGCGUAAAGGGCGCGUAGGCGGUUCGUACAGUCAGACGUGAAAUUCCUGGGCUCAACCUGGGGGCUGCGUUUGAUACGUGCGGACUUGAGUGCGGAAGAGGGUCGUGGAAUUCCCAGUGUAGAGGUGAAAUUCGUAGAUAUUGGGAAGAACACCGGUGGCGAAGGCGGCCAUCUGGACCGCAACUGACGCUGAGGCGCGAAAGCGUGGGGAGCAAACAGG
rnacentral:rRNA from 1 species